rnacentral:lncRNA from 1 species
UGGACAAAUUCAAGGACCACUGUUAUUGAAUUUAAAUCUCAAUAACCAAAAUAAGGAGUUAUGCCGAUCUAAUGAAUCAUUUUAGCUAAAAAGUCUUUUCCUUAUGCGUGCAUAUUUAUUUAUCUUCUUAUAUUCAUAUUAGACUUAUUCAAUUCAAAAUUCAAAAUUAAAUUAACAAGAACACAUAAGAAGAGAAAAUCAACGAGAGCGAAAUAAAGUUCUUUCUUCUUUUUGUUUUUGUAUUUGUUUUUGUUUUUUUUUGAAAAGGUUAAGGUAUCCUUCAACCUAGAACUCUGACCAACAAAAUGGCAUCACUGAGGUGUAGGUCCAGGAUUCUUUGGGAGUUUACAUAUUGGAUUAGUUUCACUAAAGAAAACUAAGUGCCAAUUAGUAGGGCCAUGUGGCAAUUGCAUGUGCCAACACAUGGCAAAUCGAUUGUAUUUAUUUCUCAUUUCAUUUAGUUUAGUGACUUAGACAUGGCACAAUGAGUGUCCAUUAGUCCAUAUACAGGAUCUUCUUGAGUUUGACACACACACAUGUAUGUGUCUAUACAUGAGUGUGAAAAUAUUGAGGUGUUGCCUCAGAAACUGUUGUUUUGCAAUAAAACAAUGAAUGAGGAUCCUCUUCGGAACCUCGGAACCUCUUUGUAAGGAUCAUGGAGAUCCUCACAUCGUGUCUGUUUAUCGUAUACCAUGCAGUUAGUUUUUGUCAAGUAUUGUUUGUGUUUAAUUUUAAAUAAAAAUAUUUAAAAUGAUUCAUAAUUGCAUGAUAUAUAAUAAACGGACACAAUACGAAAAUUCCCGGGAUCCUCACAAAGAGGGUCUGGAGAGAAUCCUCAUUCUAAAAUAAUUACGGAGGACUACAUAAUGACUGUUGUAUAGUGCAGAUAACUGUUCUUGGUCCAAUAUUUUGAAGGUUGAAAAUGGAUCGACGUAAUAUAAUAUAUUGUUUUUUUUUAACAAAAAUAUAAUAUAUUGUUAGACUAUGUUAUACAAGAACAUUUUCUGUUAAGUAUCUCUACCCUUCAAGUUAAUAUAGUUUGUAUUAAUCAUAGGGAUGAACUAACUAUGGGGCUCGUUUGGCUUUUAGAAUGAUUGAAAGCACUUUCAUCAAAAAUACUUUUGGAACCAAUCUUUAGUAAAAAUACAAAUGAAUCAUUGCUACAAGAAGCACAUAUAAAGCACUAAAAGUCCUUUUGGAACCCAAAAAUAAGUUCACUAAAACCGCUUUCAACCAUUUUAAAGUCACUUCCAAACGAACCCUAUAAAUUCUUUUGUCACAUAAUAUUCCAGUUUUUAUACCUCUAACCAACCUCUAAAUUCAUUGUUCCUUUUAAUUCAUUUCGUCAACCAAAUAAAUUAAACAAAGCACAAGCUUUUCAUAUGUUGGUUGCUCUCAUGAUGCGAACACUUAAUUUUCGAAUUUUAUAAACGACAGGUGCAUGCACAUACAGCAAAUAUGGAAGAGAAAAAAGGAAAUUUUCGAAGCAAACAUACUCUCUGUGUUUCUCUCUCCUUUUCAGAUACAAUGUAUCAACAAAAUUGGCCCCAUAUCUUCAUAUAGUUAUGCUACUUCUUUAUUAUAUAACUAUAUAAUAUUGUAUGUAACCUUAUAAUAUGCAUGAUGAUAAUACCCAAGCUUCCUGGCUCGUAUAUAUUUUUCUCAGUUGAGUCUUUUUUUUGCUGCAUCACAUAAUUUUGUCACUCCUAAACAUAGUUUUGUCACAUGCAUGUUUCAACUUCCAUUGUUUAUCAUACUUACAAACUCCUAAUGAUUAACUCAGAUUGUAUAAAUAAAUUAGAGAGAGAAAGAGAGAGUAACUACAUACAUGGGAUCAUCAACUUCUAAUCCAAUAAUCGAGAACCCCAACUAGAAAGAUGCUUAAUUAAGUAUUUUAAAAUGAUAGAUUAUUUCCAAACUUCAUUUCUUCCUGAUAUAACAAUGUUUUUGCCGGAGAUUUUUGACCUAGCUAGACGUCCCGACAAUACGAAUUUAACAUAGAUGAAAAUGUAUUCUGUGCAAGAAUCCGAGUUAAUAAUAAUAUUGAAAGAAUUCUUGGUUUGAAUAGGGUUUCCAGUGACUCGAGAUGCAAUUGCAAGUGCUCAUCAAAUCAUGAGUUAUCUUUUGCUUAAUGCUGAACUGAGUAUAAAUAAAGUAAAAGUGAACCAGAUGACAAUAUUUAAGCAGGAAUUUGAGAAAAAAAAACAUCGGUAUGUAAAAAUCUUAUUUUCUUUAUAAAAAUUCACAAGAAUAUAUAUAUAUAUAUAUAUAUAAAUAAUAUAUUUUUAUACCAGAAAUACUUCUACUCUAAAUAAUUACUUAAGGGGAAAGGGGAUGUUUAACCUGAAACGCAGCGGGUUGAAGAGAAAACCCCUAACCAUCAGGGCAAUUCACCUCUUACAAAACUUGGAACCAAUUAAGUAGUGGAAUAAUAAUCAUGUACAUUAUUUUUUUUCAAUCCAUGUUAGUGCAGUUGGCUGUGUAUAUGCAUGGGUUUCUGUUAUAUAUAAUACAUGGGUUUCUGUUUGUCUGGUGCUUCACCAAAUUUGGUUGAUCAAGUUAAGGUGCCAUUAUUAUUAGUAGGAGAAGAUGCCCAGAUCGUCAAAUUAGGAACAUGAUAUGAUAAGUCCAAGAAUUAUCGAUCUAAUACACCUGCAGAUAACCCUGCAGGCCAACUUGGUUUUUAGUUAUUUCAGUUGCAAAACUUAUUAAUCUACCUUAACUAGCAUGGAAGAGAUAAAGUUUCACAAAAUAAAAUAAUUUUUGAGGAAAAAAUACCUAAAUUUAAAUGCCAUUUUUGCAGGUGUAGUUGAAAUAAAAGAAACCAAUUUGCCAUUGAAUAUUAUGGAUAAGUAAUACCGCAGGCAAAGAGGUAAAGUCGCUUAGCUGGUAUUCUCUGCAAAUGCUGUUGAUAUGAAAUAAAUUUUAUUAUAGCAGUACUAAAACAUGAUCGAGAUAGGAUUAACUCGGUAGAUACCGUUUUAAAGAAAAGACGAUUCUACGGUAUUAUUAAAGGAAAGAGUAUAUAUUGGUACCCUUUAUUUUGAUCAAAUUACAUGAAAAUUGUCAAUGUUUAUUGUCUAACGUUACAUAAUAAUAGUGGUAAGAGACUAAAAACAGCGUGUAAAAAUUCUCGAUUUCCAGUUUGCAACUUGGGCUGCUACUUGUAUAUAAACCUAAAAGCCAGAUUCUAAAUGGUUCUACAUCCAAAGUAAUCAACCAUAUGUCGCUUAAUGAAAUUAUAGCUAAGGAAAACUUAGUAGAAGUAAAACAUAUAUACUUAACAUGAUUUCCGUACCAAAUUAAAAACUACGGAACGGAUGUUUAAUUUUGUUUGGGACCCUUGUUGUUGGAUGAUCAUGAUACUUCCUAAAAAUCUAAAAACUUGAGUAUGAAGAGAUCAAAUCUUCUGCACCUAAAAUCUUUGUGAUUGACCAAAUCGAAGUAACAGGACAACAUCGAAUCAACUCUUCAAUUAUUUGGGUAUGCCCUGCUUAUGUCGCCAUGUCUGAGAUGUAACAAGUUGAGUUGGAAUUUUGAAUCAGUAGAUGAGCUGCUUUAAAGUUCCCUCUCAAUGACGCGCAGUGUAAAGGAGUCAGGCCACCCUAUUUCAUCAACUUCUUUUAUUAUCCCAGGAUUUUUGGAAACAAUAGAUUGCACAAUUCCUAAAAUAUUGAUAUAGAAAAAAAUAAAGCCUGUUUGGUAUCCUAUUUGAAAAUUUUUAUCAUUUCUCAAAAUAUUUCUUGAAAACAAUUUUUUUUAAGACUAAAAAACUUGAUUGGUUUUGCGAUUUAAAAUUUUUAAAUCUUACGACUUAAACUAAAUAAAGAGGUCUAAAAAGAGGGGGCCAUAGUAAAGGGAGAAAGAGGAGAGAGGAGAAAAGAAAGUAAGAGAUAAUUGAAGGAAAGAGAAAGAAGAGAGAGGAUCGGACGAGAUAGAGAGGAAGAUGAGAGAGAGAACCGAGAGAAUGAAGAGAGCAGAUCGGAGGAGAGACGAAAAAGGUAAAAAAAAAAAAGAAAGAGAGAAGAAGAAAAGAGAGAGAUAGAUUUGGAGUGAGAGGGGAGAAGGGAGAAAAAAGAAAAGAGUGAGUUUAAGUUUAAAAACUCUAAAAACUCACUUUUUAUGUUUUUAGAUAAUAGAUUAUGUUUUUAAGUUAGUCUUGAGUCCAGUUUUUGAAAAUAGUCAUACCAAACAAAUUUUUAAUGCCUAAAACUUGAAAAUUGCUUUUGAGUUUAAAAAAUUGAAUUCAAGUAUAAUACCAAACAGGCCUUUAAAAAUUUUGUUGUGGGAAUCAAGUAUACAUACGAAAAUAAGGCAUACCAAGUAACAAGUCGCUUAAGAAGGAUCUUGCUCAACGGUAGCUGGACUGGGAUUCAUAUCUCAGUUAAGGAUAUUGAUAUAUUAUCGACUGUCAAUAUGUCAUACUCAAUAACUAAGUUGAUUAUACAGUCGAUAUGGAUCAUGCUACAGUUAUAUGUUGAUGGGAUUCCGUGCAUAAGAAGGGUCUAGUACCAAGCAAUGUCAUGAAGUUAAUUACCUUUGUCGGUGAAGUAUUUUCGAGUGGCUGCGGCGUGCAAAGCUGUCACACCAUUUGUUCGCUGAAAAGGAGAUAUAUGAACGGGAGUCUCGUUCAAAAUAUAACCAGCAAUGCUGGUAGACUUGGCUCUAGCAGCUAGGAACAAGGAUGACUCCUUGGUGCUAUAACAUGAACAACACAAUUCAGGAUCAAAAACUUCAAUACUCCAGCAUGAUAGUAUCGAACAACAACAUGCAGUGCUGUAUAAAUUAGUCAUUCGGAGUAGCUUUUUGUAAGCUUCACCAUCAAUUGGUUGCUCUUCUGGAUCAACUCCUUCAAUAGGUAGCGAUAUUGUGCGGUCAAUGAGGAACGUUAGUACUUUAUCACAUCCUACUCUCGCAGCAACAUGUAGAGGAGUUUCACCAUUCUUGUUGGUUGCCCAAUACCGGGGAGAUUCAUGAUUUAUUUUCUCUUUUUUGAAGAAGUUUAUUUGCUUUAAUUCAGCUGCGAUAUGAAGAAUAUUGUUCUCUUUAGACGUUUUCCGAAAGAGAUCAGCUGUUAGACGACCGUGUCCAAUGUUUUCCAAGAAGCCAACUUCACCAGUUGCAGCUGCUUCAUACAGAGAAUAUCAUGCCUUCCAUCUCUCUCUCAGAUUUCCUAUGAAGUUUUAGAACCAAUCAAAUAUGGAUUAUAUAAUAUGUAUAACAAUUACACAGUUUAUAUAGAAAUCUAAUUCAGCUAUAUAAUUAAACCACAAUAUGAAUAAUUAAAUGAAGUUGAAAAUGAAAUCACAAUAGAUAUCACUGACUUGUUUUCGGAAUAUAGAGGCUUACAGUAGCAAUCUCUUGAGACAGAAAUAUAUCCCACACUUGUGCAGUAGUUCUUGGACGUCUAUCUUGCAGAAUACAACUAUCUAAUCUAAGUUCUUGCACUUGAACUUGGAUACUUGCCGAGUUGAUGUGUAUUUCUUAGUGAAAGAAUAGGAAGAGAACGUUGGAAUUGAAUGAUAUGCUUAAUCCUACGACAAUAUUUAUAAUGGCUUAAACCAAUAGUUAUGACUGUUUGAAUUCAAUCUUAUCCUUUCAAAACAGUUGUAACUGUUUCGUAAACAAUUGUAUCAUUUCGUAAAAAACUGAAUAGUAAAAACAAUAAUGUAAAUACAAUACUUUAGUUUUUAGCCCAAAAGCAACAAGGUGCCCAUCUUUGACAGAUAAUAUGCACUCAAAUCUAAGGCCCAAGAUCCAUGACUUUGACUCAAUUCUUUUCAAGCAAUAAGUGAGAGGACUCACUAAUGGUAUUGUACAUCGUCUAGCACGCCAUGCUCUUCACAUGGCAUUGAACGCUCCUCUCUCAACUUUUAAUAAUCAAAUUAGACACCAGUUAAUGGACAAGAAUGAAGGACCACAAAGUACGUGCUCUGUAAUUAAGUAUGAAUCCGUGGUUUACUCUCUCACUCUCAGCUUGUCUUGUCUUGCAGUUAAGUCAAUUAAUCAAAUUAAGAAGUAGCCAAAGAAACCCGCGGUUAUGUUAAAAAUCUCACACGGUUUGUGACCUUUAACUUCAAUUUCCUAUGACCUUCAACUUCAAUUUCAUGCAUUGACGUUAGGAAAAAUAAGAUAAAAAACUUACUGGUUAUGAAAGUUUAGAAUCUUUCAUAACUCACACGGUAUGUCCUCCUUAACAACAAUUAUACAGCUUAAUAUGAAGGUAUUUAGUAGGUGUUUUCUGAUGGAAAAGAUCGCACCAUUGGGUGAUUUUCCUCUUGUUGCCCGAUGUACCCCAAGAAAACAGCUCACGUGGACGGCACAUUGUCUUUUAAGACCGAAAGUUUGACGGCGUUGAUCAAACAGACCAAUGGUGAACGUUUUGUUACAUUUAAGGAUGUAAAUUGACGAAAUUUUAGUUCAUAAAUGAUUCUAAACACGGUUACAAAUUUAGGAAGGAAUCCUGAAGUUUACUCUAAUGAGUAAUGUUAGACUCCAAGUAUUUCCCAACCCUUUUGCAUAGUAUCGUUUCUACAUUUCUCAAUAUAAUUCAUUUCAUGCAGAAGCACUUCCAAUGUGCUUAAGUGAUUAUAAUUUAUAACCCUCCCAUAAUUACUUGACCAUAGACAGAUCUCAUGUGCAAGUGGUGUAAGACUUGGGACGAGACAAACGCCACUAGUAGAAUAAUGUAAAUAGAUGAUACUAGCAAUAAUGUAUGCGCGUUGCUGUGGGUGUUAAAACUACUGGAUGUAAAAAUGUAUAAAAAACAUGAGAAUAUGGUGUAAAAUGAUAUGUAAGCCAAUUUUGUACUGAGAAGGCAGGCACAUAUCUUAAUGAAAGUGAGAAAUGAUGUCUGAGGAUUACAUUUAGCAUAUUUCAGCCAUGUUGCAAACUUGGCUAAUUGAAAAGCUUCUGAAUUUAUGGCCUAAAUCAGCAUCACAUCAUUAAACCACAUUAUUAAAUUGGAAUUAAAACAUUGAAAAACAUAUGAAGUCAUGCCCAACAACAUGAAAAGUUUUUAAAAUGUAAUCUAAACUAAUGUUUUCUUUCUUCCUCUCCCUGUUUGUAAGACAGAAGGACAAAGCUUUGCAAAAUUCCAACGAAUUGUCUCAUUUCUUCCCAAUAAUUAUAAAUCUAUUUUAAUCCAACAAUUAUCAAUGCAUUUCAAAACUGGAAAAAAGCAGGACAUAAAACUUACCGAAAAUAUAAGAGCAGCGUCACAGGUGCUAGCAAAUGUCAGAUUUAUUAACUGAGCAACCAAAAUGCAAAAUACUCUUUUAGCCGGGAAAGGUCGAACAGAAAGUAUAAUCACAGUGAAUUCUUGGUCCAUUGAUUGCAACUUUGGAAAUCUUGGAAACCAAUUUUAUGAGUCUCCUAAAAAAACUCUAGGUUUAAAUAGAUGCAGAACGGUCGUCGAAGCAGAGAGCACAAAGAAAAUUCACGAAAUCAGGAAUUCUUCUUUGUUUUGGCAUUGUUUAGGUUUUUAAUCAGAUGAAAACGAUGUGAUCUGUGACAUACCUGCAGCUACGUCUGUGUGGUCAAUUUUAGUUAUGAACAUUGGUAAACAAAAUAUGAGACACUAAUCAUAAAAUUGGGUUAAAAGUGUUAUGAUAUCAAUGUAAACUUGUGGUGGAGAAUCAUGAAUAAGAGGGUAAAAUGAUUGUCAAAUUUCAAGCAAAGCAUUAUUAAAUGAGUAGAAUAGAAGGUGAAAAAGAUUCAAAAGUUGCAUUCAAAAUGGAUAAAAAAAAUGGGAGUAGAGUGGAAGAAGACAUGCAACGCAGUCUUAUGGUGAUUUUUGUUGUAAUAAUGGGGAUAAAGAAUGUUGAAAGAUGGAUAAGAUAGAACUCACUUGGUGUAGAUAAACAAUCAUCAUUUCCAUCUUUCCUUAUAAGAGAAAUUGGCUGUUACAAAUUUAUACACAAAGACUUUCUUUGUUUGAUGUGCUAUUGAUGCAUGUCAAAUUACUUGGUUAACCACUAAAGGGUUUAAGAUGGACAUCCAAAAAUAUAAAUGUAGAUAUUUUAAGUAAAUAUAUAUUGUCUCCACAUGAUUUAAUUGAAAUAAAGGACAUGUUAGGAACAACAGAAUUCGAAAAAAAAUUCAUUGUUUGAAUGUUGUUUGGGUUAAUUAAGGCAUGUGGAAUGGGUGCAUUUUUGGUGACAGUAUGUUCACCAAUGCUUUGGAUGUCCUGGUUAACUCAUUAGUGGGGAAAAAGGUAAUUGGACAUGCGUUCAGAGCAAAUGAAAUGAAGAUAGUGUGUGCAUACAUUGGUAAAAGCCAAUUUCCCUGAAGAGAAGCAUUAGUGAAGGUAGAACUUAAACCUAAAACAUUAAAAAAGGUCGUACCCAGUGCACAAGGCUCCCGCUUUACGCAGGGUCUGGGAGAGGUGAAUGUCGGCUAGUCUUACCCCCAUUUAUGGAGAGGCUGCAUAAAACAUUAACGAAAAAAAAUUGAAAUUUCUGAGUAUUUUGAGAUACCGUUGGUAGUUAUACAAAUGUGUCGACAGAAGAAACAGAGCAGAUGAUUGGCUAUCAAAACCUAAUUUUUAGCAAUAAGGAGAUUUAUAUUAAUAUGUUUUAUAAGUAUAGACGAUCUUUUCAUGCAUAUGUUUUUAUGAAGUAUUAGAUAGAUGGCAAAUCAUUUGUUAAAGCUGUUUUUUUUUUUUUUAAAUGUUAUGCAGCAAGAAUGUAUGCAGAUUAUGGAAUAUGAAAUUGGAAAAAUGUUGAAUCCAAUAACGAAGAGAAUUUUCUCAGUGCAGAAAAAAUAAAAGAUUGUUUUAAGAAAAAAUGUAAAAGAAAAUGGUGAAAUUGCGUACCUGAGCUGGAAACGGUUUUAAAGCAUGCAGAGCAAAGAUGCAAAAAAGGAAGAGGAUUGUAUGCUGAAACAAAAAGAAAACCAAAUUGUUUACAUAAAGGAGCAGGCAAAAACUAAAAGAAACGAAAUUUUGAAAAUUUUGUGAGGGUGGCUUCCAAAUGUUUCAAAAUGUCAAAAAGCUGCAUCAUAAUUGGUUAAUUUAUUAUGCAAGCAACAAAAACACUUGGAUUGAAACUGAUGCAAGGGUUUUAUUGCAAUGGGGAAUAAACGCUGUUCUUUAUGUAAUUUUGGCAUUAAUCACAUUGUUUUUUUUGGGUAUGGGAAACGUAAAUCAAACAGAUUUUAAGCAGUUAAAUAAGCAUCUGGUUAGAAAGGAACUUGUUUAGGGCUUAGAUUAAGUAGAUGUGUUUAGAUGGGAACAAUGGUAGGACAGAGUUUAUUAUUGUGUAGAGAUUAGUUGAACAUUAAUUUUGAACCAAAUGAGAAAGAACAGAAAAAGCAAAUCAUUGUUAUGCUAAAAUUUUGGCACUGUUAGUUGUCGUAAAUAUAUAGAUUAAGGGAAUGGAAAUGAAAACAAACCAACUCAGUUAGAUAUGACCAUGGUUCUCAUAGGUUUUUAUUAAGCUGUAAGUUAAAGGCAUAUGAUAUUAGUGUAAUAAAUUUUGGAGCAAGAAAUGAGAAUGACAAAUAAGUGCUAUAAUGAGCAAGAUUACGUGGCUACUAAAAUUUUGGACCGAAAGAAAUAUAGAAUGCAGGUAAAGAAAAUGGUCCAUCUUGAAUACACCAUAUGUAGUGGAUGAUAAAUUAAGAAAGUAGGAAAGGAAAAAUGAAAUGGUAUGAACUAUAUGCUGAAUGAUGACAGAAUUGAAUCCAUUUGAUUCUUAGCUUGUGAUCAUCGGUCCAGUUAAUUACCACGCACCUUAAGGUUUGCUCCAUAAAUGUUCCUUGCAAGCAAUAGAGAUGGAGUGGUCUCUUUUUCCAAAGACUGCACGUGCGGUUCUUUCUCAGCAGCAAAUGCAUGCACCAUUAUUUUGUCCUGAUUGAAUAGCUGAUAAGAAAGCAAAAAUAAAAAAAGGAAAAGAAUUGGUAAAACGGUUGGUAUAGUACUCGCAGAGAGAAUAUGGUUCAUUUUGAACAACGUAUAUGCAGUGGAUGACACAAUUUGAUCACAAAUUUUGCAGGACAUCUUUAAAAACUAUGUUUGGAGAAUAGUUGUUUACAUUAUUUUCUUCAUCUGGAAUCAAAAUUUUGAGACCUUCUUUUAAUGUAACUCUAGAUAACGCCACAUAAGUGAAAACAGGUUCUGGAAGGUAUAAACCAACUUGUUUCAAAGAUUGUCCUUGGCUCUUGUUAAUAGUCAUUGCAUAACAUGGUCUAAUUGGGAAUUGACGCCUUUUAAAAAUAAAAUGCCACUUAUUUUUUGUUGCUGUAAGAGUGAUCCUCGGAAUAAAUACUUUGUGGCCAUUAUUGUUUCCAACAAGUAUUUUAGCUUCUAUAAUUCUGCUAAAUAACUGAGUGACAACUAAUCUAGUUCCAUUACACAAACCCAAAGAUUGAUUUAAAUUUUGUAACAGCAUAAUUGACAUUCCUAUCUUCAAAAUUAGGUUAUGUGUAGGUAAACCAUUGAAAUCCAAUUUAUUCAAAAAUUCAACAGGAUAUAAUGUUCCCAAAUUUUCAAUAUUUCCAUUUGAAGAACACAAAGAAUCAUAGCUUAGAAACACAUGUUGUUCACCAGGUAACAAAUCUAUAACAUAAUUGUUUAUAUCUGUAAUAGUUGUGUUUCGAGGUGUUAUAAUAGCACGUUCUCUCAAAUAGGCAAAAUUUUCAAAACAAUUUUCAAAAUCAGGAUAAGUUGCAAGAAAAAUUGAUAAAAACAGAUUUCCAAAAGAGUGAACUAUCUAAUCUUUAGGUAUUUCAAUCAAAGAUGUGUCCUUAUCAUCUAAACUACUUUCAACAAUUUUUCCAUCACCUAUUUGUAAAAUCCAAUUUGCAAAAUCAUUUAUUUUUAUCUUUUCAUCAAUGCUUAAUCCAUUUUUUGAUAAUCUCAUGUUUUCUUUUAGAUAAAAUAUUUUAAAAUGCAACCACAAAUAAGAACUAUUCAAAGAAGCAUUUAUUAUAGGGAACUUUAACAAAAAGUUUCCGGUACUGUUCACUUUAACGAAAAACCACAUUUUUACACUAAAAAGUCAAUCAUGGUACUAUUCACUUUAUCCUUUAUUUUGUCAUUGCAAAGUUAUACCGGGAGAGAGCUUGACUAAUCAACAUCGCUUGUUGGUGAUGGAUGUACAUAUCAAAAGAGUGAGGAAAAAAAACAAGACUUGGAAGUGCCCAAGGACUAGAUGGUGGAAUCUAAAAGGAGAAAAACAAGCCAUUUUCAAAGAGAAAGUAAUCACCCAGUGUGGGUGGGAUAGAGAGGGGGAAGCUAGCCAAAGGUGGGAUUCCAUGGCUAGUUGUAUCCGAAAAGUAGCAAAAGAGGUAUUAGGAGAGUCCAAGGGCUUUGCUCCACAUCAAAAGGAAUCUUGGUGGUGGAAUGAGGAGGUACAAACAAAGGUGAAGGCUAAGAAGGAAUGUUGUAAAGCCUUAUACAAGGACAUGACCGAUGAAAAUGGUGAAAGGUAUAGAAGAGCAAAGCAAGAGGCGAAGAAAGCUGUGAGAGAAACUAAAUUAGCGGCUUAUGACGACAUGUAUAAGAGACUAGAUACCAAAGAAUGAGAGUUGGAUAUCUAUAAACUAGCUAGAGUAAGGGAAAAGAAGAUAAAGGACCUAAACCAAGUGAGGUGCAUCAAGGAUGAGGAUGGAAAUGUUCUUGCUACAGAGAAUGCGGUCAAAGACAGAUGGAGUGGUUAUUUUCAUAAUCUUUUCAAUGAAUGACAUGAAAGAAGUACUUCUUUAGGGGAGUUAAGUAACUCAGAAGAGUGUAGAAACUACUCAUUUUAUCGUCGAAUCAGGAAGGAAGAAGUGGUUGUAGCUUUGAAGAAGAUGAAGCAUAGAAAAGCAGUGGGCCCAGACGAUAUACCGAUCGAAGUAUGGAAACUCUUGGGAGAGAUAGGUAUAGUAUGGCUCACUGACCUUUUCAAUAGGAUUUUGAAAACGAAGAAGAUGCCAAAUGAGUGGUGAAAGAGCACUGUGGUGCCUAUCUACAAAAAUAAGGGCGACGUACAAAAUUGCAUGAACUAUAAGGAUAUUAAGCUAAUGAGUCAUACAAUGAAGCUCUGGGAGAGAGUCAUUGAGCAUAGAUUGAGGUAAGAGACACGAGUUUCGGACAACCAAUUCAGGUUCAUGCGAGGCCGCUCAAUCAUGGAGGCAAUCUAUCUCUUACGAAGAUUGAUGGAAAGAUAUAGAGAUGGGAAAAAGGAUUUACACAUGGUCUUUAUAGAUUUGGAAAAAGUGUAUGAUAGGGUCCCAAGAGACAUUCUUUGGAGGAUUUUAGAGAAGAAAGGAGUACGAGUAGCAUAUAUCCAAGCUAUAAAUGAUAUGUAUGAAGGAGCAAAGACUGCCGUAAGAACUCAUGAAGGACAAACCGAAAGCUUUCCCAUAACUGUAGGAUUACAUCAAGGCUCAUCCUUAAGUCAUUACCUUUUUGCGUUGGUAAUGGAUGAGUUAACAGGACAUAUUCAAGAUGAUAUUCCUUGGUGUAUGCUUUUCGCAGACGAUAUAGUAUUGAUAGAUGAAACUCAGGAAGAGGUAAAUGCGAAGCUUAACCUUUGGAAAGAAGUGUUGGAAUCUAAAGGUCUUCGCCUAAGCCAAUCAAAGACAGAAUAUAUGGAGUGCAAGUUCAGUGCAAAUGGAGGCCAAAAUGAGUUAGGGGUGAGGAUCGGAGAUCGGGAAAUACCAAAGAGCGAUCGUUUUCGCUACUUAGGAUCUAUAUUGCAAAAGAACGGAGAAUUAGAUGGAGAUCUCAACCAUAGAAUACAAGCUGGAUGGAUGAAGUGGAAGAGUGCAUCCGGCGUGUUGUGUGACCACCGUAUGCCACUGAAGCUCAAGGGAAAAUUUUAUAGGACGGCAAUAAGGCCGGCGAUGCUGUAUGGCACAAAAUGUUGGACGGUGAAGCAUCAACACGUACACAAAAUGGGUGUAACGGAGAUGAGGAUGCUUCGUUGGAUGUGUGGGCACACGAGAAAGGAUAAGAUUAGGAAUAAGGAUAUCCGAGGUAAAGUAGGAGUAGCCGAAAUUGUAGGAAAAUUGAGAGAAAAUCGGUUACGGUGGUUUGGACAUGUGCAAAGAAGGCCUACUAACGCUCCGGUUAGAAGAUGCGACUACGGGACAGAGGUUCAAGGCCGAAGAGGUAGAGGAAGACCUAGGAAAACUUUGGAAGAGACUCUAAGAAAAGACUUAGAGUAUUGGGAUCUAACAGAUGACAUGACACAGGACCGAGCACAAUGGCGUUCUAAGAUUCAUAUAGCCGACCCCACUCAGUGAAGAAAGCUUUGGUGUAUUUAACAUAAUACGUUGAAAUGAAGCAAGCUUAUUUAUUGAUAUCUCCGAUAAGUUACAAAUAUGUACAUAUACAUGAG